rnacentral:rRNA from 1 species
CCUACGGGAGGCAGCAGUGGGAAUAUUGGACAAUGGGGGCAACCCUGAUCCAGCCAUGCCGCGUGUGUGAAGAAGGCCCUCGGGUUGUAAAGCACUUUCAGUGAGGAAGAACGCCUGGUGGUUAAUACCCAUCAGGAAAGACAUCACUCACAGAAGAAGCACCGGCUAACUCCGUGCCAGCAGCCGCGGUAAUACGGAGGGUGCGAGCGUUAAUCGGAAUUACUGGGCGUAAAGCGCGCGUAGGUGGCUUGAUAAGCCGGUUGUGAAAGCCCCGGGCUCAACCUGGGAACGGCAUCCGGAACUGUCAAGCUAGAGUGCAGGAGAGGAAGGUAGAAUUCCCGGUGUAGCGGUGAAAUGCGUAGAGAUCGGGAGGAAUACCAGUGGCGAAGGCGGCCUUCUGGACUGACACUGACACUGAGGUGCGAAAGCGUGGGUAGCAAACAGGAUUAGAUACCCUUGUAGUC